GUAAUUAGCUUUUUCGGCUUUACAGUAGAGAACAGAACUGUGAUGCUAAAAUAAUGUUCCAUUAAUUUCUGACUACUUAUAGUUUUGUUUCAGGGGCCUGCAACUAGUUUUUACGUUCCUGAUCUAGUGAAAAACUCCAUCCGUGCUCUGUGCAAUGCAAACACCUCCGAAAGGUUCAACCCCAUGAAGGACGUAUCCAUUCCAGAAAUUAGUCUUAAAAGCAGUAGGCUAGAGGGCUUGAUUGGCGGGCCGUCUCCAUCACAGCGUACAAUCCUGGCAUUUUUUGCAGGGGGGAAUCACGGUUUUGUAAGACCAAUACUGUUUAGGCAUUGGGAGAAAAAGGAUCCGGCUAUUAGAGUUCACAAUUACCUUCCAAAACGAGUACCUUACUAUGACCUAAUGAGGCAGAGUAAGUAUUGCCUUUGCCCCAGUGGUUAUGAAGUUGCGAGUCCGAGAGUUGUUGAGGCCUUGUACAAUGGCUGUGUUCCAGUGCUGAUUUCGAAAAGUUACGUGCCGCCAUUUAGUGAUGUCUUGAAUUGGAAGAUGUUCUCUGUGAUGGUUUCCCUAGAAGAUAUUCCAAAUCUGAAGAAAAUAUUGAUGAGUAUACCAGAAAGGCAGUUUAUAACAAUGCAGAAGAGAGUUGUCCAAGUGAGAAGGCAUUUCGAGUUGCAUGUGACUCCCAAGAGGUUCGAUGUAUUCCAUAUGAUCCUUCACUCUAUUUGGCUUAGAAGAUUGAAUGUCAAAGUCAGUAAUGAACCUGGAAAUAUUUUGGAUUGAUGAAUUAAUAGACUACUCCAUCUCUGUAAAAAAAGUAAGUUGCCCCCCAGCCGGUGCGUAACGGAAUACAUAAUUUAAAGAAAAUUGUUUUGCAAUUUGAUGAUGUAGUUAAGUCAACUUGUAAUUGCAAACAAAUCUUUUUUUUUUUUUGUGAUAAAUGGUAUUUUUAUUAAUCCAGGGAUAGCUAGCAGGGAAAGCUCAGCUACAUCAUAACUAUUCAGCUAUUUUAUACAUUACAAAUGAAACAAUCAAAGGUUAACAGUACAAAUAUCAGAAAAUUCAAGAACUUUUGCUCCAGGAAGAGAUCAGCAAGAGAAUUAUUAGUCUUUGCUGGGAUGGGUUUUGGAGUAUUUUGAUCACAGAGAAUUAUUAUAUUUUGUUAAAUCCAGUGAGGGUUGGUACGUAGUAACUUUAUUGUAUUAUUUCAAUAAUUACCAAGCUUAAAUUUUGGACAAAAAGACAUCAUGAGAUUUUAAACUUUGUAAUUGACAUUUUUUCAUUGUGAAUUAAUUAUAUUCGGAUUCUGUCUUGUGAUUUUUUUCUUGACCUUGAGAAUUUUUUCAUAUAUAUAAUGUGUUUUAUUUUUAGUUGCUACAUGUUAUAUUUGUUGAUAUAUACCUUUUUUUAAUUUGACUUAAAUAAAUUAUAUUAUAAUCAUUAUUGAAUUAAACUUGUUGAUAUUUAUUGCUCAAGGUCCAACACCUAGAAUGUAUCAAGCACUCAAGUAGAGGUGCAUAAAUAUGGGAUUUUCAAGUGCUCAAUCUGAUUUCAGUUUCUUGUUCCUAAACACGAUGGAUAAUUGCUUGAAUGGCCAUAAUGGAUAAGGUUCCUACUAAAUUCACAGACUAAAUGUUUAGCUUGAAUAUUUCUCUACCUAGCACUAACUGCUUUCUUUGAAAUCUGAUGCAACUCGAGAUUGCCUGUGUUCUUUGUUAUCCAGUCUCUAGGCAAAUCUAGUACAAAACUGUACAAGCCUGAAGUUGGUGAGUUUCAAAUAUUGCCUGGAAUUAGUGCUUAUAUUAGGGAGAAAGAUAUAUAAGAGGAAAGUAUGGUAAACAGCCACCCUAAGUUUCAAUGUUUUUGUAGCAUUAUCUGAGAUUGUAAAAUAUAGUCUCAUUAAUGAUCUCCCCAAUGUUGUCAAACCUGGGGAGUGAUAAGAUAUUUUGGUUGAUUAGUCUAACUUUACUAAUGCUGCAACCCAUGCAACUUAAUUUAUUUCUUUUGAUUUACACUCUUGUACAAAUAUUUGGAGUUUUUAUUCUGUAUUCUAGAAAAUAAAUGACUUAAUUUAAUUUUCAUGAAACAGAAUCAACUUUAUGCUUACAGUACUAUAGGCUAAUAAUGUUGCAGAGCUAGAACCAAACAGAUAAUUGAAGGAAUAGAAGGUAAGCGUUUGGAGACAACAUCACAACACAUCAAAAAAUUAUUUACCACGUGGCACGUGGUACGACACGUGGAUUGACAGCAGAUGCAACAGAAUCUGCCUAAUGGCCAUGAAGCAUCUGCAUUAGGCAUCAUCGAUAUCUCCCAGACCCAGUAGCAUCCGUCCACCGCUUAGUGGCAUCACUGGGAUUCGCGUGCAAACAAACACGUCUUCCUUCAUCAGCAUGUCUUCCACGUGUCAAACCAUCAUCUCAUUACAAUACGUGGCAGUCAAUGAGAGAAAAGUUUCUUCCUUACGUGUCAUGUUCACUGGAUUGAAGCAAUUUGUAUGAAUGCAAAUCUUCUGCCCCGAAUUGGUGCCCCAUUUCCUGCCCCCUUUACAAAAUUAUGCCAUCUGUCCAAUAAAUGGAAGUUUAUUAACGGCACGUUAACUCCCUUCUUUUUUUUCUUUUCCAAUGUUUUCAAUCGUUACUCUCCGGUUUUUGCUCUUUGCUUCUUCUUCAGUCAUGGUGGAGGCUUCAGACAAUAGCAAGUUUUAGUUUUCGCCUGGUUCUUAACCGAGGAUGACUUGUUCAUGAACAAGAGUAAAGCAAAGAACAAUCUCAAGGAAGAUUGUUUUGGAUUAGACCACUUAUGCAUGGACAAAAAGAAAGCUAAGAACAAUCCCAAGAAUUCCAAAGUUUUGUUUUUUGAAAAAUAAUUAUUAACAGAAAGUACAUACAGUGCCAUUUUUUUUUGACAGGAUUGACCACAUUUUUAUGGAUGUUCUCUGCUCUAAUAAUGUUAUUGGGUUCAAAUUUAGCAAAAUCAAUGAAAUGGUUGUUUUUCAGAAAUAAAUACCGUAAUGGUGGAAUAGCACAGAGCUUAAAAAUUGGGGAAAAAGAGAAGAAAAAGCCGCACUUGAUCAUCCUCUUCAUAUCUGGGUCUCAAGCAACUUCAUUGGUCACAAUAUUUGACAUAGAGUGAACCAGACUGAUGCAAGUACAAGCCACAUAAUCAUAAGCUUGAAUUUGCGUAUAGAAUAUCAAAAUCAAAAAAUUUGGUUACACUUGGGAUGAAAACAAAGACUCUGCUAGACGCCCGACAUAUUCAGUCAUAAGCUUAAACCACACCCAAAAAUCAUCCCACAGACAAAAUAUCCCUGAACAGCAAAAGAGUCAAAAACACAGAAUCUUCAAGAGAAACACAAUGAGUAGAAAGACCAUCCUCCAUUCCCUUAGCAUGAUAUAGAAAUAUAAAGAGCGAAAGAUCAUACAAGUAUUCCUCGUGAAUAUGCAUUUAUAUGUCAGAGUUGAGUUGUUCUUGUAUUAUUGCAGUGAGUUCCUGUUUGAGGUUUGAUUGAGAUUGAAAAAGCAAUGGCGACAAGGCAAGAGAAAGAGCAAAGAGCAGAGGCAGCAGCGAGACAAGCAGCGGAUGAUCUUCGGGAUGUUGACAGAGGAAGACUCUAUGACGAAAGAGUUGUAUACAAGGAGGAGUUGGAUCAAUCACCGCAGCAACAGCAACAAAGGCCAGGAGUUUUUGGAACCGUGUUGAGGGCUGUCGUUGAUAAGAGACACGAGGCAGAGGAUUUCACAAGGGAAGGAACCGAUCUAGCUGCAGAGAACACGAGGGAGACCAAAGAUGAAGCAGCGGAGAGGGCUAAGGAGUACAAAGACAAUACCACUGUGAAGGAGAAGUAAACUACGGAUGAAGCUGAGAGGAAGAUGGGGGAAUACCAAAACUAUGCAGCCGAGAAGGCGAAAGAAGCAGCUGAAGCAAAGGACACUACAAAGGAAAAGACUCGUGAGUAUAAGGAGUAUUUAGAGCAAAAGUCCAGGAAGGCAUCUGAGCAGGCGAGUCAGGCAUCUGAGAAAGCGGAGGAGUUAGCUCAGAGGGCAAAGGACACUGCCAGGGGAAAGGCUGCUGAGUACAAAGACUAUGCUGCUGAGAAAGCAAAGGAGUCCGCACAGAAGGCGAACGAGGUUAAGGACACCACAAAGCAAAAGGCUGAUGAGUAUACUAAUUAUGCCGCCCAGAACGCAGAGGAGACGAAAGACUCUGCGGCCCAGAAGAAAAAGGAGACGAAAGACUCGGUAACAGGUAAAACUUACACAGAAUCUGCCGCCCAGAAGGCAAAGGAGACAAAAGACUCUGCCGCCCAGAAGGCAAAGGAGACGAAAGAUUCUGCUGCCCAGAAGGAAAAGGAAACAAAGGACACCGUAGCUGGGAAGACUUCUGAGUAUACAGGUGAUGCAGCGCAGAAGGCAAAAGAAGCGAAGGACACAACAACGGGAAAGGCCGCUGAGUAUAAGGACUAUGCAGCUGAGAAAGCCAAGGAGGCAAAAAGUACCACAGAGCAAAAGGCUUCUGAGUAUACAAGCUAUGUGGCACAGAAGGCUAGGGAAGCAAAGGAUACUCCAAUGGGAAAAGCGUCCGAGUACAAGGACUAUGCAGCCGAGAAAGCCAAGGAAGCAAAGGACGCGACAGCUGAGAAGGCCAAGGAUGCCGCAGAAAAGGCAAAACAAGGGACAGAAUAUGCAGCGGAGAAGGCAAAAGUAGGAAAAGGUGCUACUGCGGAGAAGAUGAACGAGUGCAAAGAUUACACCGCUGAGAAAGCAAAGGAGAGUAAGGAUACCACUGUUAGUACGCUUGGGGAGUUGAAAGACUCUGCUGCUGACGCUGCAAGGAGGACUAUGGGCUUCCUCACUGGAAAGACAGAAGAAACGAAAGAGAAGGCAUCAGAGACUGCAGAGAAAACCAAGGUGAUGAAUCUUAUUUAUUCCAACUUUUUUUUUUAUUUUGGAACUUUCAUUAAUACUCAAUAGUUAUUCAGGAAAAGUUGAGUGAAACAACGGAGUCAGCUAGACAGAAAAUGGAAGAGAUGAAGCUGAGAGGCGAAGAGUUCAAAGAAGCUGGAGGGGAUUAUGAUGGUUUGGGACGUGAAGGUGUCUCAGAGACAAUUAUGAUUAAACUUGAAGAUACCCCAGCAGGAGCUGUUGCUGCUACGCUGAAAGCAUCUGAUCAGAUGACUGGCCAAACUUUCAAUGAUGUUGGGUGGAUGAACGAGGAAGGCGUUAUACGCGUAGAACGCUCCGGUAAAACCAAAAGGUAAUCUCAAACCAUCUGCAUAUGCCCUUCGGAUAGGGUGGGACUAUUUGUGUUGCUUCUUUCUAUGGUUUUGCUUCUGUUUUUGUAUCUUCUUGCUAUAAAGUACUUUUUUGUUGCAUGUCUGUGUUCAUGAAUACUUGGAAUGGGUACUCCAUUAAUAAAAACCACCCAAAGAUGGGAACGAAAAUGACGUAUGUAUUUUGGAGCAAGGUGACAGUCGCUACUCUCCGUUGAUAAGAACUCUGGUUGAGCUUCGAGUUUUACUUUUCGUUUCAUAGUUAAGCUUUUUUGUUCGAUGAAGAAAGCCCAACUCAUGUUCGAACUUAAAAUGAUGGGCUGAUCAAGGUCAGAGCGCUCAGCUUGUCCCCAAGCAGAGCCCAUUUGGGUAGUGGGGUCGAUCAAAAUAUAAGCUAGCGAUUGCUCCGAAUGUCCAAUGAGGAAAGAGCACUUAAAAAAUCUAUAGUUUCCAAAGGUAAAUACAUAAAUCUCCACGUAAAAUGGAUGGCAAAUUACUUACCAAAUACCAAGAGGUAAAGAUGAGAAGGUUCUAUGUUCGGAAAUUUGUGGAUAAUGGUGACGAAAAUAUUGCUGUGAGCGGUAGUUGCGUGUACAGUCACGAUUGUGGAUUAAGACGAAAGUGAAAAAAGAUUGUUUUCUUGAUAUGUCGUGACAAAUACAAUGUUAGUAGUUGCCCACUUAUCAUAAAUCUACAUUUUACUUUUAUUAUUAUUAUUAUUAUUACUCUCUAACUUUUUUUGUCCUGCAAGGUAAGCUAGAGAAGUUAAACUUUUGUAAUUAUAUCACAAAUCUUUUCAUCUCAUAAGUAUUAUUCAUAUUUAUCCAUUACUUUUUUCGUUCCAUAAAUAUUAUCCCAUUUUAAUUUUCUUUAGUUAAAUUUUUUUAUUUUAAUUUUAAUUGUUUAAAAUAUUUAAUUAAAUUAAAUAUUAAUAAGUAUAUAUUUAAAAACUAAAAUGUUAAAUUAAAUAAUAGUGAUCAAAUUUGAAAAAGAAAAUUGACUGAGAAAAUUCACAUGAAAAAAUUUGAUUGAGAAAAAUCAAAUUCAUACAUUAAGGACAAAAGAAGUGAUUCAUUAAAGUCAAGUGAGGUUUCCACGAUGUUGCUUGUCAAGAAUGAGUUGAACAUUCAGGGCAAUCAAUUCUUGCCCACACCAGUGUACUCUAAAAUGUAGAGCAGUACAAAACUCAACUGAGGUUAGAGUCCUUAUUCAAUAAUGCCAAGCAAAUAUCCCUUUCUGUCUUGCUAGAACACUGCAGAUGAGGAAUGACAGAAUCCUUGGAUCCAUUAAUUUCAACCAUGUAAUACACGCACAUCAUUCAAAAACUUGCUAAUUUCCAUAUGAUUGCUAUAUGUCAUGCUACUAUUUAUAGUUUGAUUGCUUUCAUAUGCAUGUCUCCUUUUUGUCUAACCAAUACAGAAACAUCCUUCAUUCUAUUGGAGGGAAAUUAUGUUGUCACAGUUUGAUAAACAAACUAAUAACCAACAACAGUUCAAAACGGCCAACCUACAUUAUCUACUAUCUCACUCAUCUCGGAUCAAGCUAAAGAAGCACAUCUCAUUACAUUUGCAGUCCACUUUUAUUCAUUUAAAUGUAUGAAUUUGAUUUUGUUGGUCGAUAAAUGAAGACUCUUUGGAGUAGACUUGCCUCUUAUAUCAUAAAUGAAAUUAAUAAUACAUAUUGAGUUGAGCAAGAAGAAUGCGUUUUGUUGUUACUGGUAGAAUUGUUGGUCGGUAAAUUUGAUACCAUGCAUCCUUUUUGGAGUCUAAACUUUACCGAUCGAAUAUGACUACAUAAAGUUUAUCAGGAAUUUUUGUUGAUAUUUCGUCGGUGAUUUAUUAUUCAUCUAUCGACAAUCCAUCAAUAAUUACUGUUACAUUGAAAUAAAUUUAACCAAAAGUUUAAACCAUGAGUUUUCAUUUGAUAUUCCAGUCAUUAAAGUACUUACUUGUGUCUAGAUAUUGGCACACACAAGGUUUUCGUCUCAAGACAUGUUUUGUUUGAUGAAAUACAGUUUCCCUCUCCACAAAUCUCAAAUUCAAUUAAUAAAUCUCCUAUUUCAUCCUCAGAAUCCAGUCAUCAAAGUGCUUACUUGUGUCUAGAUACUGGCACACAUAGGGUUUUCACCUCAAGACAUGUUUUGUUUGAUAAAAUACAGUUUCCUUUUCCACAAAUCUCAAAUUCAAUUAAUAAAUCUCCUAUUUCAUCCUCUGAAUGGCUAACCAAAUUUGUAUACCUAUUUCCACCCCUAUAUCAAAAACAUCUGGAAGUCAUACACUAGUUCCAUUUCCUUAACAAGAGUCAAGCUUGUGUACUAAUUAUUCUCCAUCACCUUUAACUAUUCAUUUCAAUCCUUCUCUUUGUUCAAAUCUUAUUGUUUUUUAAUUUGCUACUCAAAGAACUCAUCCAAUGGUAAUAAGGUCAUAAAAUAACUUCUUUAAGCUUAUACAAAUUCAUUCGGAUACUAAACAUCCCAUACCACUGAGCAUUAAACCUUCUUGUGUCACCACUGCCAUAAAAGAUCUAUAUUGGAAAUGGAACCAUCCUUGAAUAGCUUACAACUUUGCAUAACAGUGGCACUUGAGAAUUAGUACCUAAACCUCCCAACAAAUUUGUGGUAGCUUGAAAUGGGUGUUUAGAAUAAAGAGAAACCUAGAUGGAUUCAUUUUCAUAUAUAAGGUUAAACUUGUUGCCAACGAUUUCCACUAAUAAUCAGGACAUGAUUACGAUCAUUUGCAUAGUUGUUGAACUUGUUACAGUCAGACUAGUGGUAAUAUUGUAGCUUCUAAGAAUUGACCUUUUCAUCAACUUAAUGUCAACAAUGCAUUUUUUCAAAGAAACCUCACUGAAGAAGUCUAUAUGAAACAGCCUCUAAUAUUUAUUAAUUAACACCAUCAACAUUAUAUAUGCAAGCUCAAAAAGGUUAUAUAUGGUCCUAAACUAGUUCCAUGGGCCUGGUAUAUAAUUCUUAACCCGUUCUUUAUCUCAUCUAGCUUUAAUAACUCCAUUAUAGAUAUGUCACAACCUUCACAUUUGUCUAUCACACAGAGAAUGUCACAACCUUCAUGAUUGUCUAUGUUAAUGAUUUGAUUCUCACAUGCAAUACUUUUCCUUCAUGUCAAAAUUUGUUCAAACCUUAUCUCAAAGAUUCUCUAUUAAGGACCUGUGUAGCCAUCAAGCCAAUGGCAUUGUAAUUGACUUCGAAAAGGGACAUCAACAACUUUUCAUCAACAUUGGCAAGGCUUUUCGUCUUUUUAUGAUAGUUUACACCAUGGGAACCUUUCAUGACCUUGAUAAAUGAAAUCUCACUUCAAUAAUUACAUCUCUUGUGCACUGGUCUAAUCCCUUUGAGGUCUCACCUUUUAGAUGAUAUAAAUCAUUAUGAAAAUUUCCCCUCAUCAAGACCAUGUCACCUUGUCUAACUUUGACCACUCCACCACUUAUAGAAAAUUCAUAUCCUCUGGAGUCUUAUAGGUUCAAUGAUAUUAGAUUCUUACACAUUUUUGAGACAUAAGUCACACCACCCAAAGAGUGCACAACUCUAUCAAACAUUUUGGUUCUCAUAACUCCGAGACCUAUGAUCUUAACAAUUGACUUAUCAAUCAAAGCCAAAUUUUCAACGACCCCUUUUUGAAGCAAAUCAAAAUAAUUCUUUCAAAAGCAUAUGUAAGUGAAACAAAUAGAAUUUAAAUACCCACCAUCAUUAUAUUUUGUAUCCACAUCUUCUAAGAUUGUAGAGGCAGCAUAAUCAUUAUCGUUGAUAACAAAAAUGCACUCACCUUUACUCCCACUACUCUUAUCCCCUUUUAUAGGACAAUCUUUCUAAAUAUGUUCAUACCUUUUGCAUUGAAAACCCUAAAUAUUGUUAGAUCUAGACUUGUCACACUUAGAUCUCUUGUUAGUUGACUUGCUCUUCGGAAUCUUAGUCACUAAUUCUGAGUCAAUUAAUCUAUAUUCACAUUUUUAUUCUUCUCUCAGGUUUCACGGGACAUUAACACUGCUUGUGGUUGUUUUAAACGUUAUGUAUCCUUUUCACAUAUCAAAGAUUUUACAAGUACCUUAUAGGUGUGCAAAAGUAAUGCAAGGAACAAUAUUGAAUUCUUUUCUUCUUUCACCUUCACAUCAACUUUCUUCAAUUAAUUAAUGAUCCUAUCGAACUCGUUCAUAUGCUUCAUAAUAUCUCCAUUCUUCUCCAUAGUACGAGCAUUGUUUUCAUGUCAUAGAUCGUUAUAUCCAUCAUAUUAAUUGAGGUUAAGUUACUCGAACAUAACAACUCAAGCUUAAAAUAUAACAUUUUCAUAUUUUCAUAUUUACACAUUUACACAACACAAGCACAUUGUAGUACGAGCAUUGUUUUCAUUUCAUUGAUUGUUAGAUCCAUCAUAUUAAUUGAAGUUAAGUUACUCGAACUUAACAACUCAAGCUUAAAAUAUAACAAUUUCAUAUUUUCAUAUUUACACAUUUACACAACACUAACACAUUUACACAUUACAAUUACAACACAAUAACAAUAACAAUUUAUAUAAAAAAUUAAAAAUAAAAAUUUAUAAAUUAAAUAUAUAAUAUAAAUUAUGCAAAAUUUACACAUUUAACACAACAAACACAUUCACACAUUUACAAUCACAAUAAAAAUUACAAUUUAUAUAAAAAAUUAAAAAAAUUAAAAAUUAAAAAAAUAUAUAUAUAUAAAAAACAUAAAUUAUGUAAAAUUUACACAUUUAGCCUUUUAAACAAACACAAUAACAAUAACAAUUCAUAUAAAAAAUUAAAAACAAAUAUAUAUUAAUUAUAAAUUAUGUAAAAUUAUUUUUUUAAAAAAAAUUACAAGAAAAAAGACCACCAAUGAGAGGAAGGGCAAAAAGGAUGACUGGUGUGGGUUGGGGUGAAAGAACGACUAGUGUGGGGAAAAUUAUAUGGGACAAAAAUGGCGUGAAAAGGAUGCUUUUUGGUUAAGAUCUGAAGGGAGAAGGGAAAAGGCCGCAAAGGAGAUGAGAAAAGGGUGAAGGGUAGAAAGAGCCUCAACAAGGCACAAGAAAGAGGAGGAAGCUUAACUGCAGCGAAAGGAAGCAAAGAGUUAAGGGACAAGGAGCGGCCAGCAUUUAGGGGAAAAGACAAAAUGGAAAAGAAGUUCGCGUGGGUUUCUUUUUUGUUUGAUUUAUUGACAAAAAUUCGGUCAGUAAACUUAAAAAAUUUAAUUGACAUUAUUUAUAGAAUAUUUCAUCAGUAAAUUCAUUUCCCAUUUAUGAAAAUUACCAUCCAAAAAAUUUUGUCGAUAAUUGCUAUUAUUGAUGGAAUUGUUGGUCAAUAAAUUUGACACCAUACAUUCUUUUUUAAAGCCUAAAAUUUACUGAUCAAAUGUUGACUACAUAAAGUCUAUUGAUAAUUUCAUCGAUAUUCCAUCAAUGAUUUAUUAUUCACAAAUACUCCGUCGGUAAUCCAUUAAUAAUUACCAAAACACUGAACAAAUUUAACUAAAAGUCUAGAUCAUGUAUUUUUAUUGGGCAUUUCAAUCAUCAAAGUGCUUUCUUGUGUUUAGGAACUAUCACACACAAGGAAUUCACCUCAAGACAUGUUUUGUUUGAUGAAACAUAGUUUCCCUUUGCAUAAAUCUCAAAUUUGAUUGAUAAAUCUCAUGUUUCAUCCUCUGAAUAGCUAAGCAAAUUUAUAUACAUGUUUCCACCCUUCCAUUAGCAAUGUCCGGAAGUCAUACACUAGUUCCAUUUCCUUAGCAAGUGGCAAGCUUGUGUACUAAUUAUUCUCCAUCACCCUCAACUACUUAGGUACAUUUCAAUCCUUCUCCUUGUUCAAAUCCUAUUGUUUUUGAAUUUGCCAAUAAAAGAACUCAUCCAAUUGUAAUAAGGUUAUAGAAUAACUUCUUCAAACUUAAACAAAUUCUUUUGGAUAGUAAACAUGCCAUACCAUUGAACAUUAAACCUUCUUGUGCCACCACUACCAUAAAAGAUCCACAUGAAAACAAACCAUCCUUGAAAAGCCUACAACUUUUGCAUAACAAUGACACUUGGGAAUUGGAACCUAAACCUCUCAACAAAUUUGUGCUAGGCUACAAAUGAGUUUUUCAAAAAAAAAAAAAAAAGAAACCUAGAUGAAUUCAUUUUUAGAUAUAAAACCAAACUUGUUGUCAAAGAUUUCCACCAACAAUGAAGAUGAUCAUUCGUCCAGUUAUUAAACUUAUUACGGUCAGACCAAUGUUAAAUAUUACAGCUUUUAAGAAUUGGCCUCUUUAUGAACUUAAUGUCAACAAUGCAUUUCUUUAAAGAGACCUCACUGAUGAAGUCUACAUGAAACAACCUCUAGUAUUAAUUUACUGAUCGACACCAUCAACAUUAUGUAUGCAAGGUUAAAAAGGCUAUCUAUGGUCUUAAACAAGCUCCAUGGGCUUGGUAUAUAACUCUUAGCUAGCUCUUUUCUUAUCCCAUCUAGCUUUAAUAACUUUAUUAUAAGUACGUCACUCUUCAUUUAUCACACAUAUGCAAGGUUAAUAACCUUAUCUCACAGAUUCUCUAUUAAAGAUUUAUGUAGUCCUCAAGUCAAUGGCACUAUAAUUGACUUAAGAGAGGGAUCUCAACAUUGGCAAGGCAUUUUGUCCUUUUAUGAUCGUCUACGCCAUAGAAACCUUUCAUCACCUUCUUGAUAAAUGAAAUCUCACUUCAAUAGUUACCAUCUCUUGUGCACUAUUCUCAUCCCUUCAAAGUUUCAUCUUUUAGACGAUAUAAAUUAUUAUGCAAAUUUUCUCUCAUCAAAACCAUGUCACCUUGUGUAACUCUUACCACUCCAUCACCUAUAAAGAAUCCAUACUCUUUGGAGUCUUAUAGGCUCAAUGAUGUUAGAUUCUCAAACAUCUUUGGGACAUAAAUCACACCACCCGAAGCGUGCACAAGCCCAUCAAACAUUUUGGUUCACACAACCCUAAGACUUGUGAUCUUCAUAAUUGACUUAUCAAUCAAAGUCAAAUUCUCAACCACCCCUUUUUGAAACAAAUCAAAAUAAUUAUUUUGGGAGCAUGCAUGAGUGACACAAAUUGAAGUUAAAUAACAACCAUCAUUAGAAUUUGCAUCCAUAUUUUGUAAGAUUGUAAGGACAACACAAUCAUUAUCGUUGGUAGCAAAAACACACUCAUUUUUAUUCUCACUACUCUCAUCCUUGUUUGUAGGACAAUCCUGAAUAUGUUCAUACCCUUUGCAUCGAAAACCUUGAACAUUAUUGGAUCUAGACUUACCACCUUUAGAUCCCUUGUUAGUUGAUUUACUUUUUCGAAACUUAGUCAACAAUGUCGAGUCAAUUAAUUUUUACUCACAUCCCUAUUUUUCUAUCAAGUUUCACGAGACAUUAACGUUUCUCGUGCUUGUUUAAAUGUUAUUGUAUCCUUCUCGCAAAUUAAAGAUUUUACAAAUACGUCAUUGAAGUCCAAAAGCGACAUAAGGAAUAAUAUUGGAUUCUCUUCCUCUUUCACCUUCUCGUCAACCUUCUUCAAUUGAUCAAUGAUCCCGUCAAACUAAUUCAUAUACUUCAUAAAAUCCCCAUUCUUCUGCAUAGUAAAAGUAUUGUUUUCAUGUCGUAGAUUGUUCGAUACACCAUAUUAAUUGAAUUUAAGUUACUUUAACUUAACAACUCAAGCUUAACCUUCUUAUUAGUGCUCUUUAAAAAAAAAAAACCUUUUGAUUUGUGUUAAGAUCUAGAAUUCCUCUCUUCCUGCUUCAUCUAAAUAAAACUCAAAGUGAAAGAAACAAAAUAAUAGUAUAACGUGUACAUAAAACUAUGAAUUUUAAGAGCAAAGAUUCAAUCAAUGUCUUACAUUCAAACUAUAGGAAUUAGUAUAUUUUUCUUGGAUUGUUUAACCUUUUCUAAAAAGGUUAAUCACAUUAAGUAUGGCCACCAAUGAAAGCGAGUGGUUAAGUGCAUUUACUAUAAGAGAACCUCAAUGGUGAUAUGAAGUGUCGUAAAUUGUCCAUUUAUUUGUGAGAAAGGCUAAUACGGCUUUUAUCAUGUGACAUGUCCCUAACAAUGCAUGGUUUAUCCCCAAUCCCCACUCAAAUGCAGUUAUGUCCAUAGUCCAUUAUAUUAUUAAAAAUGAUUGUUGAAAUUAGUGUGAUACACUUAACCCCUCUCUGUAGUUUUGGGACAAUCUAUUUUUCCUCUUAAUGAAAAAAAAAUCUGGCAAGCUCACUUUUGCUGUUUUUUGUAUGAUAGUCGAGUAAAAGCUUGUUUGGCUUAGUUUUUUUAACUUAAAAGUUAUCAUGAAACUCUUAUGAAAAAUAAUAGUAUUUAAGAUUAAGCUAAAGCUGUAUGACAAAAUAAAUUAUAUAAGCUUCAAUUUUGGUUAAAAUUAUAAUAAAGGGUAUUUCUGUCAUCUUCAAUCACCUAAUAAACCAAAGCGGAACAAGUCUAUUUCAAGCUUAUAUACGAUUUUAAAUGUUAAAAUCAAAAAAAUCCAUACAGAAACAGAAUAGCUCUCAAAUUUUGUAUAGUAGUAAUAGCAUUUAAUUUUUGUUAAUCUAGUAAGCAAUUGGACCAUGAUGCUUCAACUUCUAAAGAAAGAAGAGAAAAGAGAAAAUGAUGUAUUUGAUAUUAAAAUCCUUUUUAGUGAAGAAAAGAGAAAAUCUUAAAAUAGUACUUGAUACAAUUUUGAAUUUUGGGUCUUUUUUUCUAUUAAUCUUUAUAAGAAUAAAAAAAUCUCAAAUUUUACUAUUCUAUUGUUGGGGUUUUCUAUUUUUUUUUUCUAGUAGUCUUUGUAAAGGGAGGUGGAUGAGGGGGAGAUCGCGAACUACAUUAGACAAAGGUGAUUUGCAAAAGCAAGAAGAUCUGAGAGAGAGAUCGAUUGGGAAAAGAGAUAUUUCUUAAGAAGCUAUCGUAUUUAUAAAAAGAAAAAAGAAAAAAAAAAACUCUUCUUUGGCUUUUUUUAAGUUUUUUUUUUGAAAUUUUAUUUUUAAAAAACUUAUUUUUUUAAAAAUUUCUUAAAAUCUUAUUUAACUUGGCUUUUGUUUUUAAAAAAUAGAUAAGCUAAAAAAAAAGUCAAGCCAAACAAGGAUUAAGUCUUAGGAUUUGAUUACAUGUAUGGGAAAGUCCAACUCAACACCCCUGGGAGAAAAAAUAUCCAGAUAUUAGAGUUCACCAUUAUCUUCCAGCUAGAGUAUCUUACUAUGAUUUAACGAGACAGAGCAAAUAUUGCCUUUGCCCCAGUGGCUAUGAAGUUGCAAGCCCGAGAGUUGUUGAGGCCUUGUAGAAUGGCUGCGUCCCGAUGCUGAUUUCAAAAGGGUACAUGCCGUCAUUCAGUUAUGUUUUGAAUUGGAAGAUGUUCUCUGUGACAAUUUCCCGGGAAGACAUUCCAAAUCUGAAGAAACUCUUGAUGAGUAUACCACAAAGGCAAUAUAUAAGAAUGCAGAAGAGAGUUGUUCAAGUUAGAAGGCAUUUUCAGUUGAAUUCUCCGGCGAAGAGGUUUGAUGUUUUCCAUAUGAUCCUUCAUUCAAUUUGGUUAAGAAGAUUAAACAGUAAAGUACUCAUUAAUGAUAUUGGAGAGAUUUCCGAUUGAUGAAUCAAUUGGCCAUUCCGUCUUUGUGAAGAGAUGUCCGCUAAGUCAGCUGUUAGGGAGUGGGUUACAUAAUUCAGGAACACUCUCUAGUCAUUCGAUGAGGCAGUUAAGCACGAUUGCACUGGAUCAUUGGAGCUUGAGCUUUCUAUUUAUAUGCUGUAUUUUUGAGGUCAAGAUGUGAAGGUGCAUAUGUAAUUUGUCAUUCACGGUUACAAAGAUAUUUUAGCUUGGAAUCAAGCCUGUUUUAGCCAGUCUAUUUUAGCCAAUUACUUCUUGUUUUGGGACUGCCCAGCUUUCCCUGAUUCUUUAGAAAAUGAAUAAGAAUUCAAUUAUCACCCCCCACCAAAUUAAUUUAUGCAAGAACGCCUUUGUUGCUUUUAUUUCUGAAUUACCAUUUUAAAUAAUUCUUGUUGAUUAUAGAUAGCGACUAUAAUAAUAAAUUAAUAUAGUUACAAGGUUUAUCUCAUGUAGAGGUAAGAAUUUAAAUUUUGUUGAAUCACUUUCAUUAAAAGAUAAUUUACUUUUUUUAGAAUUCUUUAUUCAAUAGAUUUCUAAAUGUAACCCUAUAAAACAUUAUUAUUGUUUAAUUAAAAAAAAUGGCAAGUAUUUAUGUGCAACCAAGGAGCAAAUACUACUAGCUAGAAACAAAUGAAACAGAGUACUGGAAUAAAAGGAAUAAAAGAUAAGCACUAACAGCCACAGUUUUGAGAGUCUGAAUAUGACCUUGGUGGUACACUACUAUAUAAUAACCAUCCGUUUCAAAGCUGUAAAAUGAGUAUAUGAACUGGAAAUUUGGCUAAGAGGAAAGCAGAUAAAUAAUGAAGCAGGGAAAACAAAGGUUGGCCUGCUUGGGGGUGCAACCAUUUGUUUUCGUCCGUUUCCUAAAAACCCAACUCUUAUUUUUUGUGUUGGUUGCAAACAUGCCUCCAUUAUUUCACAUAAAGAUUCUGAGAUAACUCCUUGAGAAGGAGAGAUGGGUGAAGGAUUCAAGAAUUGGUUUGCCAAAACUUCAUCAUCAUUAAAGGUUAUUCUGUUUGCAGUGCUUUUGAUUCUGGUGUCAGGUUCUGCUCCCCUUUUUGUUCAAAGACGCUCCAACUUGGCUUUAAUUUAUGUUGUCCCUACUUCAUCUUCUUCAAACACUAAUUUAGAUGCAGUACAGAGGCCAAGUUACAUGCAAAAGAAAGUGAUAGUCCAGUAGAUUUGCAUUCAGAGGUGGUAGUGUUGGUGGAUGAUCACAGCAGGAAAGAAGCUUUGUCAGAUGAGGCUGCCCUUAGCAAGUCUGUUUCUCCAACAAUUGAUGCUCGGUCCUUGCAAGUUCAGCAGUUUGUAAGAGCUUUGUUUCUCUCUCAUGGACAGUUUCUUACCUUCUCUGGCGCUUAUGUCUUUAUCAAUUGCUUUAGUAUGAUGGCUUAGAAGUUAGAACCACAUCUCUUUAAUUUGUGUCAUUUACCACAUUUUUAGCUUAAUUUUGUUGAUUCUGAUAAGCACUUAAGAAUUUAGGUCCAUGACUUCCUGUCAUUUCCCUUUGCUUUAUUUGAAGUUAGUGAUUUCUUUGUUGCCUCGUUGAUUGAGUUUGUUCUCCCAAAUCACGGAAAAUAAUGCCUGUCAAAAAUUAUAUACUUGAUUUUAAAUUUCUUUGAUUCAUCACGAAAUUUUUAUUAAAUUUUUAUAUUCUGAUCACUCAAACUCUCAUUACUCUAUGAAGCAUUAUUGAUGCAAUAGGUAUUUAAUCAUCUAGUUUAAAAGGAUAAUUGCUGAUAACCAUCAUUGUCCACUCCCAAUUAUUAUCUACAAUAUCAUUAAUUCUUAUACAAAUAGGGUGCCAUUAUUAAUAUUUUAACAUUCUUUUUUUUUUAUUGGAAAAAGUUUAAAAAUAGCAAAGUUAGAUGGUUCAAUCAUUAAACUAUAUGAACAUCAAGAAAGAAAAAACGUUGACAACAUAUCCUUUAUUCAUCCUUACUUGAUUAUUCCUUGGGCAUGCAAAUCAUAUGAGUAACACUAGCCCUUAAGUAAUUAGUGUAAGAAAUUUUAGGCGAAUUGUGCGUAGGGUGUGGAUUUUUUCAAUAUUUCACUUGAUGUCAAUGCAAUGCUUCCCUUCCUAAAUUAUAUGGUUUGCUUAGUGACUUUAAUUAUGAUUAAUUCAACAGAGCGGCAGAAAUGAAGACAACCCAAACAUGUCAAUAAGCGAAAACUUCAGCUCCACCACACCCUUCAAAGAAAAUGAAUCGAUUGAUCCUCCUUUGAAGCACAGAAGACGAAGAGUCUACACUAAAUUGGAUAGGCUGGAAGAUGGUCUACGAAAAGCACGAGCUGCCAUUAAAGAAGCUAUGAAUUGGAGUCAAUUACACGAUCCUGAUUACAUCCCCAGUGGCCCUGUUGGAAAAUUACGAAAUUGUCUCUAAAGAAUUACCCAAGAUCUAACCCAAUCAAUAGAAUUAAGAAAGAAAGAAAUCAAACACACCCACAAGAACAUAAGAAUUUACGUGGUUCGGUCUUUUGAUGACCUACGUCCACGAGCACAGUAACAGAAAAAAAUCCACUAAGAGGAAAAAUCAGGAGAUUACAAGAACAGUCUCAAACUCAUAACCCUUAUCCCACGUACACCUAAAUCACUCUCUCUAAAUCUAGGUGAUUAUUAUUCUUUAACCCAUAGGGUCCUUUUAUAGUGCCAAAUACAAUAACCUUAUCCUAAUAUAAUUAGGAAUCUUAUCCUAAUAGAAUUAUGAAUUGUUAUUCUAGUCUAACUAAAUUUAAAGACUAUUUCAUAAGGUAUACUAAUUUAAUUAGAAUUAAACAAUCCUAAUUAAAUCAUAAUUCAAGACUAUCCUAACAAAUCUCCACCUUAGGCUUGAAUUCACCAAGCUCCACCUUACGAACCAAUCUCUGUCGACACCGUCACUGCCCCAAAGGGCCUCAAGCACUAAGAACACCAAUCAAGUCCAAGCAAUGCUUGAACUUUAUCCCAGAAACUGACUUAGUUAACAUAUCUACCGGAUUUUCUUCUGUAGCUAUUUUCUUUACUACAAUGUCACCUUUAGAAAUAAUCUCUCGAACGAAGUUACACUUGACUUGGAUGUGUUUGGUUCUUUCAUGAAACAUCUUAUUUUUAGUCAAAUGUAUAGCACUUUGACUAUCACAAAACAUAAUUGUAUAUGCUUGUCCAAAACCAAGAUCACUAACCAAGCCUUUAAGCCACAAAGCCUCUUUCAUUGCCUCGGUCACAGCCAUAUAUUCAGCUUCAGUUGUAGACAAAGUAACGAUUGAUUGAAGAAUUGCUUUCCAACUGAUUGCAGACCCUGAGAGAGUGAACACAUACCCCGUUUGAGAUCUUAUACUGUCUAGAUCACCAACAAAAUCUGAAUCGGAGAAGCCAACCACAUUACAACUAAUGUUUGCACCUCCUUCACACACUAAGCCAACUUCAAUAGUAACUUUAGGUGUUUUCACAAGCUCCCAUGUUUGAUCCCAGUGUAGAGACUCAAUCUUCUUAGAAGACUCGGCAUAUGUAAUUUCCUCAUGAUAAAAGUAAGGCUCAUCAAUCUCUACUUCCUCAAAUAAAACAUAAGAAUCAGAAUCACCAUCAAUACAAGUAAUGCUUCGUUGAGAUACCAAUUCUUGUACCUCUUGCAAUUCUUUCUAGAUUUCACUAUCAUCCCACACUGUCACAAGAGUAUUGAUUUCAAGCUCCACCUACUUGCCAACUUCUUGGUCUGAUGUGUUUGCAAUUCUAGACUUUAUCCCACAAAGUAAUGCAAACUUGUCAAAGGUAACAUCCCGACUCACCAUAAACUUGGGAAACUUACAAUCAGUACACCACAACCGAUAACCCUUCACCCCAUAUGCAUAGCCUAGGAAUAUGCACUUCGUUGCCCUCAACUCAAGUUUACCAUCUAUCACGAUCCAUAACUCCCCAUCGGGCCCGUGACAACUGUCGCGAGGCCUCGACAGACAUUCUUCACCCCAAAUACCGAUCGAAACCCCACAAGGCUCUCGUAUCAGCUUUCACACUUCCCCGAUGAGCAAUAGUUAUCAAAUAUCAAAAUUUAAGGGAUUACAAAUCAUUUCCAAAUUAGAACAUAACAUUUUGUUUUCUAGCUCACAAGGGCAUUUUCGUCAUUUCAAUUUUUUUUUUGAAAAUCUCAAAACUUGCUAAAAAUGUAGUAGGUAAGCAGAAAAUAUAUAUUUAAUGAUUUAAAAACAAAUUAAGUAUCUAAACCAUUCAUUUGAAGUGAAAAUUUGACCAUUUGAAUAUAAUAAAAAUAUUCAAUAAAAUAAACUAUUUUCUUGUAAAAUAAUUUUCAUAAAACUAUCGGUACAUAAUUCUUAUAGCGUAAAAGUUAAUUAUAUUCAUAUAUACUAUAAAGCAAAUAACCAAAGCAUAAAAUUUCUUUUACAGUGACACGUGGGCCCACCUCUAAUCAAAAUGCAUCGAAAGCUGGAAACCUACAGCUUUUACUGAUUCAAGUCCAAAUGAAAGUCCUUAUCAAAAUCAGCUAACUAUAAAAUUCCCCGAGCCUGAAAUGUGAGGAAAUGAGGGUGGUGAGAUUAUAAAAUCCCAGUGAGUAAACAGAUACCAUCUAAACUAUCUAAAGUCGAGUAAAUGGAGACAAUUAAAAUAAAUCAUCAUACUAUAAUUUCAUUACCUUUCAACACAUUUCAACCAAAUAAAAUCAAUCCAUAAAAAUCGAGUAAUCAACUUGGCUUAUGAAGUUCUUAAAACUUUGGCUCGUACCAAAACUCAUACUCGGUGAUACCUUGCGCAGGGCAUCCAACCGAGUCCGUCAAUGUUGUUAAAAUUUUUGUAUACACUUAAAAUAUAUUUUUAGUUUGAGAAAAAUACAGUCGUUCCUUGGUGUUGGCUGAGUUCCCCUUCACAUGAUGGUUUGGCGUGAAGUGAACCCUAAGCUUUACCCCAAGAGAUACCCUACUCGUCUCUCCGUUCGAGGUAAGAAUAUAAUAGAGUUUACCGUGCUCCUCUAAUAGGCUGGUCCACGAAACCUCAUCUGCAGUGAAUAAUUAAUAUAUAAUCCACCAAUCAAUAAAAUUCAUUCUAGCAUGACAUGGUAAUUUAUCGCAGCCUAGCCUCUCAAGGCUGAAUACUCAGUACAAAUAAUUCUAACACCAAAAUCAGUUUAGCCAUUCAUGCUCAUAUAUUGUCAUAAGCCAUUCAAUUUAAAACCAUAAAUUUACAACACAAGCAGGCAGUCUUCAAUUACUCUAUUUUCAAAACCAGUAUUCGAUUUUUUCAGAAAAUUUAUAAAAUCAUUUUAUAAAAUUGUAAUUUCUCUUAAAACAUAACAAUUUACCAUUUGAACCCAUUUUCCAUAAAAUCACACAAUUGUAUAAAACUACUCUAGAUAAUUAAGACGAUAAUAAGUUCACUCACUGUUCUAAGAGUAUAUGUACUCAUAAUCCCAGUCUCCAAGCAUAAUUUCUGUACUUUUACAAGUGUACUUUGCUCACCACCUAUCCACAAUGUACAAUACAUAAUUGAUCACAUCAAUGCUUGACCAUUAUAAAAUCAAUUCAAGCUCGGUAUAUAUGCAUGAUAUGAUAUACAACUUAUCAGACUACCGUUUACAUGCGGUGCUAACCUAAUUUGGCCUAUUAUCUCCAAAUCAAUUCUUCUCACUUUCUACACUCCAAUUAUACCUAAAUUACCUUAAUGACUGUGAAUGAGAUUCAAUUUAUCAGUCUCGAUAGUAAAUUACGAAAAUACCCCUAGUGGGUAAAAAUUCGUAUUCUUGCUCUAAAAAUUUCCAUUAUUUUUCUAGGCUCAUAAUUCAUCAUUUCUUAACCAAUUCUCCUAGAAUGAAAAUCAAAUUCAUCCUCACCCAACACAUGGUAAAUUCGGCCAUUAAGGGUUGUGGGAGAAAAUAAAUUCUUUUCUUGUUGUUUUGUUUCUAAAUAUGCUAAACUAACUUAAAACACUAACAUAACUUAAAAUCAAAUUAAUCUAACAAUUUUCUCUCUCCUAACCCAUUUUUCAGAAUUGAAUUCAUCAUAAUAACUCAAUAUUCAACCAUGAAAAUCAAGAACAAAAGCAUAGGUAAGCUAGGUAUCAAGGAGAACUAAAGAAAUUCUAACUUACCUAGCUUGUUUCCUUGAUUUCUUCACUUUUUCUUUGAAUUUUUACCUAGGUUUUUUUGUUUUUUCCUUUGUUCUUCCUCUCUUUCUCUCUCUUCCUUGCUUGGUCGGCCAUAUGAAGAAAAUGGGCUGAUUUUAUGCCUUUUUAUAAAGAAACAAUAAAAUAAUAAAGGUAUGACACAUGGCAUUUUUUUAUUGGUCCAUUUUUAAAAUUUUAAAAUUUUAAUCCUUUUUAUCUCCACCACACAAUUAGUCAAUGGUCAAAAUGAGGAUAAAGGAAGACCAUGUGCUGGAAAAAUGUCCUGAUGGUGGAAAAUUACAAUUUUGCCCCAAGGGUGGCAAAAUUAUCAUUUUACCAUUUUACUUCAAAUUAUACCAAAAAUUAAAAUUUUUCACUUCUAAACCUCAAAUCCUACUCCAAUAAGUCAAAUGGGGCCAAAAAAAUCUUUUCUAAAAUUUUCAUUCUGUCCCCAAGUGGCAAAUGACCAUUUUACCCCUAGAUAGCGAAAAUUUCAGUUUGACUCCAAAUAGAUCCUCGAACUCCGAAUCACCAUAUUAAACCAUUCUGGGACUUUAAAAUUCUUAAUUUCAUCAUGAAUUCUCUAUUUGAUCUAGUUCGAGGCUUAAAUCAGCUUUGUUGUACGUCUAGGUACAAUACCGACUUUUUUGUAAAUUUUUCGAGACUCUCUUAGCAUGCAAACAUGCUAUCCAUCACAUGUAUGUUAUGACAAAUAUUUUUAUAGAGUCGGGCUUGUCAUCUUCUCCCCCACUUGGAUCAACCAUAUGAUCAUUCUUCAUAACUGAUUUCGACAUCAGGCUAAAUAUUAAUACUUUAAUAUUAUUUCAUUAAUAAAAUAUUAUUUUAUUCUAAAAAUUUUAUCUUGUCUCCUUGGUACCCAAAAUACCUUAUUAUGCCUCACUUGACUUUCAAAUCGCCUUUUAUCUCACAAAUUCUCCUCCGAUAAAAUUAUUAUUAUUUUAUUAUUAUUUUCUCACUUGCGAAAUAUUUUAUCCUAAACUACUUUUUUCGUCUUUUAUCACUUCUAAACAUUUUAAUUAACCUCAAUUUGCAUUCGAUCAACUUUAUUUAUCACCAUAUCAAAGUAUGGGGUAUUUCACCAUCACUCACAUGAGCAUGAACAUGACAACCAAAUACUCUCAAUAUAGAGUAAUCAGCGGGCUUACCAGACCAAACUUCCUUGGGAGUCUUAAAUUCAAUUACAGUUGAUGGAGACCGAUUUACCAAGUAACAAGCCUUGUUGAUAGCUUCUGUCCAAAAUACUUUGGUUAGGCCAACAUUUGAGAACACGUAUUUUGCUCUCUCAAGAAGUGUUUUCUUCAUCCAUUCUACAAUACCGUUUUGAUGUGGUGUUUUGACGACAGUGCAAUGUCUAACGAUUUUUUCAUUCUUGUAGAAUAGACCAAACUCACCUUUGCAAAAUUUCAAACCUUUGUUUGUUCGAAAGCUCUCGAUCCUUUUCUUAGUCUGCUUCUCGAUCAAUACCUUUCAAUGCAAAAAGGUGGUUAACACUUCACUUAUAGCCUUCAGAAGAUACGUCCACACCUUUCUUGAAAAAUAAUCAAUAAAGGUCCACAUGUAUAAUGAUCCACCUUUUGAUGCCACCGAAGAAGGACCCCAUAAAUCUGAAUGGAUGUAGUUUACUGCACUCUUAGUUCGUUGAGUUGUAGUGCUAAAUUUCACUAUAUGUUGCUCACAGAAAUCUAGCUUUUCAAUCUUUUGACCACACAGCAAACUACGCUUACUCAGUUUUCUAAUCCCUCUCUCGCUCAUAUGACCCAAUCACAUAUGCCAUAAAUGUGUUACAUCAUCUUCAGGAUCAUUAGAUGAGACCACAGAAAUAGUUUCAAUGACCGUGUUUCCCACUAGACAAUAAAGGUCAUCGGAUAACUUGCCGUUCAUGAUAGUUAAGGCUCAUUUAGAUACAUUCAAGACACCAUCUUGGCCACUAUAUUUGUAGCCAUUCUUAUCUAACAAACUCAAGGAUAUUAAAUUCUUUUUCAUGUUAAGGACAUGUUUUACCUCAAGUGUUCUUACCAUACCAUCAAACAUCUUGAUUCGAAUUAUGCCAAUCCCAACAACUGAGAGAGAGAAAUCAUCUCCUAAUUGUACAGUGCCCAUAUCAACAAAUUGAUAAGUUGUAAACCAAUCACGCCUAGGACAUAUAUGAAAGCAACAAGCCGAAUCCAAGAUCCAUGUAUCCAUCAGGUUACCAUUGGUAAUUGCAAGAACAUUAUCAGGUUCCUCAAAAGUAUCAAAGUCAUUUCCAACCACGUUUGCAGUAUUCUCAGACUUAUUGAUCUUUUCAUCAUCCUUGAAUUUGGUACAGUCUUGACGAAAGUGCCCUUUCUGACCACAAUUUCAACAAGUUUUCCCUUUUGCUCUAGAUUUACCUUUUCUAUCUAUACUCUUCUCUCUAUCUUUUCCUCUAUUUACAACCAAACCUUCUGCUUGAUUUUCAUUCUGGAUACCACCAACUUUCUUCUUCAAUUCCUUAGAAUUUAAAGAUCUCGAAAGUGAGAGUGUCUCGGUCAUAUAAUAUAGUAUCCACGAAGUUUUCAUACGAUGGAGGCAAAGAACAUAAAAGAAUUAGGGCUAGGUCCUCAUCCUCAAUUUUAACAUCGAUAUUCUUUAAAUCAAGAAUAACUCUAUUAAAUUCAUCAAUGUNNNNNNNNNNNNNNNNNNNNNNNNNNNNNNNNNNNNNNNNNNNNNNNNNNNNNNNNNNNNNNNNNNNNNNNNNNNNNNNNNNNNNNNNNNNNNNNNNNNNNNNNNNNNNNNNNNNNNNNNNNNNNNNNNNNNNNNNNNNNNNNNNNNNNNNNNNNNNNNNNNNNNNNNNNNNNNNNNNNNNNNNNNNNNNNNNNNNNNNNNNNNNNNNNNNNNNNNNNNNNNNNNNNNNNNNNNNNNNNNNNNNNNNNNNNNNNNNNNNNNNNNNNNNNNNNNNNNNNNNNNNNNNNNNNNNNNNNNNNNNNNNNNNNNNNNNNNNNNNNNNNNNNNNNNNNNNNNNNNNNNNNNNNNNNNNNNNNNNNNNNNNNNNNNNNNNNNNNNNNNNNNNNNNNNNNNNNNNNNNNNNNNNNNNNNNNNNNNNNNNNNNNNNNNNNNNNNNNNNNNNNNNNNNNNNNNNNNNNNNNNNNNNNNNNNNNNNNNNNNNNNNNNNNNNNNNNNNNNNNNNNNNNNNNNNNNNNNNNNNNNNNNNNNNNNNNNNNNNNNNNNNNNNNNNNNNNNNNNNNNGUCCACGGGCACAGCAACAGAGAAAAAUCCACUAAGAGAAAAAUCAAGAGAUUACAAGAACAUUCUCAAACUCAUAACCCUUAUCUCACGUACACCUAAAUCACUCUCUCUAAAUCUAGGUGAUUAUUAUUCUUUAACCCAUAGGGUCCUUUUAUAGUGCCAAAUAAAAUAACCUUAUCCUAAUAUAAUUAGGAAUCUUAUCCUAAUAAAAUUAGGAAUUGUUAUUCUAGUCUAACUAGAUUCAAAGACUAUUUCAUAAGGUAUACUAAUUUAAUUAGAAUUAAACAAUCCUAAUUAAAUCCUAAUUCAAGACUAUCCUAAUAGGCCCCAUAUACAGGAAUGCCAAAUGCUUUCAUAGGUAUCCCAUCAUCUUUAGCAGGUUAUUAGCAUAUUUCAUAUUCUCCUUCUCUUUUGCUCAAGAAUUAUAUAUAUUAUUAUUAUAUAUAUAUAUAUAUAUAUAUAUAUAUAGUUUUUACAUCAUUUUUUGAGUCAAUCCCUUUAUUAUUAAGUUAAAAUACAAAUUUCUGUUUUACUUCCAAAUGAAACUUGAAAAUCAGUAAUUUGUUUGUUGUAAGAGAGUUUUAGGGGUGAUUGUCUAUCAUCGAUAUGCAUCUUCUGUAAAAGUAGAAAUAAUUCAUUUCCAAACAUUUUCGAAGUUAACAAUGCUAAGAGCCACUCAUUUAGUAUCAAAGAACCUCAACUUAAUCUCCAUCCAAGCUUAACUUGGCUUGUCGAUCACAAGGCUGCGAUAGGGGAGUUACUAUCUCCACGCACAUGAAUUUUGCAUCGUCGGAGUAAUGCUAAAUUUGUUUGCAUGCUCCAAGUCGCUUUAUUGGACCAGCCCGUCAAGCUAAUGGAAGGCACUACAAUUUGUAGAAAAGACAAGCCACUCCAACUGCAAUGGGAAUCCAAUAGAAACAACAAGCCCUGCUGGGGCAAACAUGGCCUACGAAGGUUCUCAAUUUCCCAAUGCCUCUGUCUUGUCUUAUGUAAGAUUGCCCUGCAUUUGGACACUGAUGAAAUAUAGUGUGGACCUGUAAGUGUUUCCUCACCCCACAUCUAGGCCCUGUCUUGUAGCCCAAAAGUUGUGCAAUCACUGCACCCUGUGGGUUUGGUGGUGGAUAUUAAGAGUCGCCCAUGUCCAGUUCAAGCCUAUGAGCUGAGGGUGGCCUUGUUAAAUUGCAGCCCGUGUCUACCUCACCCCCUCUCCAUUUCCUAAUUAUCCAAUUUCCUAGCUAAAUUCAUAGCAUAAAGAAAAAAAAAAAUCUUAGCAACACUUGCACUAGGAGCAAUAACUGAACCAAACUUGAUUUUGCAGUUUAGAUACAAAGGAAAGAGUAAUUUCGGAGUUGGUCAUUCCCACAAUAAUAAAAUUAAGUAAGCAAAUGUUUCGAUUUUACACUACAUCUUUAUUGAGGAAACAAGGUCAGUGUUUGCCUUUUGUUUCCAGGUAAGGAAACAAUCUCAAUGCUAUUUUGUGUACUUAAGAGAACUUUUCAUGGUUUUUACUAUAUUGUAGUGCUUCCUACUCUAAUUCCAGGACUUUCUGCUUCUUGUUUGCAAUGACAGGAGCUACCUGGAAAUGGAAAAAAAGUUCAAGAUAUAUGUUUACAAAGAAGGGGAGCUUCCACUAUUUCAUGACGGUCCUUGCAGGCUGUUGUACACUAUAGAAGGACAGUUUAUCAAUAAGAAGGAGGUUAAUAAAAAGUUCCGAACCUACAAUCCUGAGAAAGCCCAUGUAUUUUACCUUCCUUACAGCGUAACAAGGAUGCGCCAAUAUAAUUGGGUGCGGGGUACGCCUAUGAAACGCUUAGGGGGGAUCGUCUUAGACUACAUAAACGUUAUUGCAGGGAAAUAUCCCUUCUGGAAUCGAAGCCUUGGCGCUGACCAUUUCAUGCUUUCUUGCCAUGACUAGGUAAUUAGCUUUUUCGGCUUUACAGUAGAGAACAGAACUAUGAUGCUAAAAUAAUGUUCCAUUAAUUUCGGACUACUUAUAAUUUUGUUUCAGGGGCCUGCAACUAGUUUACUCCAUCCGUGCUCUGUGCAAUGCAAACACCUCCAAGAGGUUCAACCCCAAGAAGGACGUGUCCAUUCCAGAAAUUAGUCUCAAAAGCAGUAGGCUAGAGGGCUUGAUUGGCGGGCCGUCUCCAUCACAGCGUACAAUCCUGGCAUUUUUUGCAGGGGGGAAUCACGGUUUUGUAAGACC
rnacentral:lncRNA from 1 species